rnacentral:rRNA from 1 species
CUAGAGUACUGUAGAGGGGGGUAGAAUUUCAGGUGUAGCGGUGAAAUGCGUAGAGAUCUGAAGGAAUACCGGUGGCGAAGGCGGCCCCCUGGACAGAUACUGACACUCAGAUGCGAAAGCGUGGGGAGCAAACAGGAUUAGAUACCCUGGUAGUCCACGCCGUAAACGAUGUCUACUUGGAGGUUGUGGCCUUGAGCCGUGGCUUUCGGAGCUAACGCGUUAAGUAGACCGCCUGGGGAGUACGGUCGCAAGAUUAAAACUCAAAUGAAUUGACGGGGGCCCGCACAAGCGGUGGAGCAUGUGGUUUAAUUCGAUGCAACGCGAAGAACCUUACCUACUCUUGACAUCCAGAGAACUUUCCAGAGAUGGAUUGGUGCCUUCGGGAACUCUG